rnacentral:lncRNA from 1 species
AAGGGUUUUGAGCUUGGAAUUCUUCAGGGGUAAAGUGUUUUGAGCUUGGAAUUCUUCAGGGGUAAAGUGUUUUGAGUUUGGAAUUCUUCAGGGGUAAAGGGUUUUGAGCUUGGAAUUCUUCAGGGGUAAAGGAUUUUGAGCUUGGAAUUUUGGAAUUCUUCAGGGGUAAAUAGUUUUGAGCUUGGAAUUCUUCAGGGGUAAAGGGUUUUGAGCUUGGAAUUCUUCAGGGGUAUAACCACGAAAAACAUGUAUCCUCGACAGGGGGUGUACGGAUAUUAAAUGGAAUAGCCCAAUUC